UGGGGAAUAUUGCACAAUGGGCGAAAGCCUGAUGCAGCGACGCCGCGUGAGGGAUGACGGCCUUCGGGUUGUAAACCUCUUUCAGUAGGGACGAAGCGCAAGUGACGGUACCUGCAGAAGAAGCACCGGCUAACUACGUGCCAGCAGCCGCGGUAAUACGUAGGGUGCGAGCGAUGUCCGGAAUUACUGGGCGUAAAGAGCUCGUAGGCGGUUUGUCACGUCGUCUGUGAAAUCCUAGGGCUUAACCCUGGACGUGCAGGCGAUACGGGCUGACUUGAGUACUACAGGGGAGACUGGAAUUUCUGGUGUAGCGGUGGAAUGCACAGAUAUCAGGAAGAACACCGAUGGCGAAGGCAGGUCUCUGGGUAGUAACUGACGCUGAGGAGCGAAAGCAUGGGUAGCGAACAGG
rnacentral:rRNA from 1 species